GGGCGAAUGGCACAGUGGUAGCGCGCUUGCUUCGCAAGCUCAUGGUAAUUCCAUGGACUCCGUUGCAUGAGGCCGUGGGUUCAAACCCCACUUCGUCCA